AAGAAUCCUAUUUGGAAAGCAGAGAGAGAAAGCAGAUCUGGUUUUGGGUCCGGCGUACGGCCGGCGCGUGAGCGUUCGUGCCGUCGCCGGAGCCCAUUUUCUUUAGGUUAAAAUCGUUUCCCGACUUCUUUUUCACCUCCUCUUCCUAUUCGUUUUGUCGGAGCUCUGUCCAGUUCCAAACCGGAGUGGUCAACUCGGGGAGUGAACAGAUCCACGCGGUGGCGCGGUGGCUGGAGUAACGACGCGACUGGGUGAAGGGUGAGGUGGGGUGAUGUCGGUUUGUCAGAUUAGGGUUUCCCGGGAGGUGGAGGCUCCUUCAGAUCCAUCGCCGCCGGUCUAGUUUCCGGGAGGCGGAGGCUUCGUUAGCUCCGCUUUCGCCGGCUUCGGUUUCCGGGGGGUGAAGGCGGUCUUUGCCUUGCGCCGCCGGCUUUUAGUCCCCUAGGUUUGUUAGGGUUUUGUUUUUAUCUUUGGUUUUUGCGGUUUCAGUUUGGUCUAGUUGGAGGAGUUCGCGUCGAAAGCCGUUCGAAGCUCUCCGUUGUUGAAGGUGUGGUUCUGCCGGCGAAGCUUUCUUCCCAGUUCCGGUGACGAAAGGAGGCGGAUGAGAUCUCGGGUUACCGAUUGAUCUAUCCACUAUUGGGAACUCGC
rnacentral:lncRNA from 1 species